CUCGAUUCGUUCAUCGUUCGUCCUUGACAACGUCCGUCCGUUCAAAAGAUGUCGUUGGCAGAUCAAAAUUGCAUUUUACGUUUCGAUGAUGGAAGGUUAGUGCGUCGCAAGAAAAAAAAGAGAGAGAGAGAGAGAAACAAAAAUAAAAAGAAAAAAGAAGAAGAAAAUAACGGAUAGGAGGUAAAGAAGCGAACAGCAAAGUGUAUGAAUCAGAGACGUAGAUCGUGGCAUUGAUCAAGGUUCCUGAUCUAUCUAGAUUUACGGAUAAGAUUACAAUUGUCUUGAGCUUCUUCGCAUCUUGAAACUACCCUAAUAAUCGCUCGACCCGCCAAUUGGACGCAAACAGCC